rnacentral:rRNA from 1 species
UAAAACAGAGAGUUCGAUCCUGGCUCAGGAUGAACGCUGGCGGCGUGCUUAACACAUGCAAGUCGAACGAGAGAUACAGGAGGAAGUUUUCGGAUGGAAUCCAGUAGAUCGAGUGGCGGACGGGUGAGUAACGCGUGGGGAACCUGCCUCAUACAGGGGGAUAACAGUUGGAAACGACUGUUAAUACCGCAUAAGACCACAGAGUCGCAUGACUCAGGGGUAA